GUUACGUCGUUGGCUUGAAACGUCUAGCGCUGACAGCGGCUAGUUUAUUUGAUCCGUGGAAGUCAAACUGCGUGGUUCGCGUAUACACAAACAGUGUACAAACUCUCAAAGUUGUACCAAAAUUACAGUUCUGGAUUAGAUUGUCUUUAAGAAAAAUUUCGAUUCAGUACGUUCAGAAAAAUUCGUUUGUUAGCAGAGAGAAAGGAGUUCAGCUGAUUCAGCGCAUUUAACUAGUCAAAUUAGUCCGAUUUCGCUUGGAUUAUUUUUAUUGGAAAUUUUAGAAAAUGGUCGCUUCAACGAAUGCAAGCCAAAACGGUGUAGUCAAUUCUCCAGUAGUAGGAACUUCUAAUGGAGUAACAACCAAUGGCACAAUGAAUGUCGCUGGCGGACACAAGACUUUGGCCAAGGGCAGGUACACUUUAGUAGGCGUCGAUAUUGACACAACUGGACGUCGACUCAUCGAUGAAAUCGUUCAGUUGGCCGCGUAUUCGCCCAAAGAUCAUUUUGAACAAUAUAUUAUGCCAUACAUGAACUUGAAUCCUGCUGCUCGCCAACGUCACCAAGUGCGUGUGAUCUCUAUUGGAUUCUAUCGUAUGUUGAAAUCAAUGCAAACCUAUAAGAUUAUCAAGUCUAAAUCGGAGAUCGCUGCCUUGAAAGAUUUUCUGGAUUGGCUGGAAGCGCUUAAGGCCGAAGAUACAUCAUCGAACGGUGUCAUUCUAGUCUAUCAUGAGGAACGCAAAUUUAUUCCAUAUAUGAUUUUGGAAUCGCUUAACAAAUACAACCUGUUGGACAGGUUCCUUAAAACAGUCAAAUCAUUUGCCAAUGGCCUCAAUUUAGCCAAAGCCAAUGCCAACGAAUCAUUGCAACAUUACACGUUGCGCAAACUCUCCAAAGUGUUGAGCGCCAAAGCACAUGAAGUGAUCAAUAAUCAAAAUGCAAGUGACGGUGAAAUCAAAAACAAUGUUAGCUCAACAACGGGCAUAGCCGAGUGUCAGAGCCCCCAAAAGUCAUUGCAAAAGGGCGCUCUGGCACAGGAGCGUGAGCUGUUCGAUGGUAAUGCUAGUGUGCGUGCCAAGUUGGCCUAUGAGGUGGCACAACAGUUGAGCAAUCAAGAACACAAGGUGCCUAUCGAAUCGUCGGCUGCAUUAGAGAAUAUGAUUGCCGCAGUGCAAACGUAUGCACAGCCCAUCGAAUGCGAUUUGAAUGAACUACAAACUCAAAACGAGAAUUUGGAACGUCAAAAUUCUUUCCGUCCGGUUUUCUUAAAUUACUUUAAAACCACACUCUACCAUCGAGUGCGUGCAGUCAAGUUUCGCAUCAUACUUGCGGAACAGGGUUAUGACCUGCAGACGCUAAAUGCAAUUUGGAGUGAGAAACAAAAGGAUGGAUUGGCCGAAGUAUUGCAAGUCAUUGAGGAGUUAAAACCUGAAGAUAGGACGGAGUUGGCUGAUUUAUUUGACAGUUACUUCGAUCCUGUAAAGACGACUAUUAAGCCGAUUGUAAAAAACAACAAUCGCCGCCGAAAUAGACGCGGAGUACGCAACAUGAAGAACGACGGCAGCAAUAGCGCUCGCACAAGUAGUGAGCAAGGAGCUGGCGGUGACAAGCAAGUCACUGGCGGUCAGCUGCCCGACACCACAAUUAAGUCGCCAUCUCCGCCAAACGGCGGCAAGCCGCAGCGUGGCAAGCGUAAUCCGCGCUCACGCAAUAACUCCAUAAAAACACAGCUGCCAAGCGCCGCCGUCGACACGAGCAAUACAACGGCAACAGCAACCAAUUAAAAACUAAGAAGUUCAUUCUAAGAUUCAAGACAGGCGCUGUUGCAACAUAAAAAAACAACUCAAAUUUAAAGCGAAAAAACCCCACUGUUUAGCUUCACAAGCAAAACACAAAAAUUGAUUGGUGCGUUGCAGUUAUACAUAGCAAAACGAAAAAAAAAAACAAAUUUAAUUCGCUCAAACACUAGGAGGCAUGAUCCGAUGAAAUAACCAAGAAAAUGAAAAAGGAGAACGAAAAAAUUUCGCCGACCCCAUAAACUCCUUGCGCAAAAUUUCUGUGAAAAAAAAAUUUUACUUGUGUACUUUGAAAUUUAACCAAAUUUUUGCGAAUAAAUCAAGCCAAAGUAACCGACAUUUGAAAUGCAACAACAAUCAACCAUACCUGGAUGCUUUCAAUGCCAGUAACAAGAAUUGAUUUUCCGCAAGACAAUGCAAGCAAAAAUUAUUGAAUUUAACAAUUACAUAUAACCAUACAUGUCUGGGAUCGCCUCGACAAAGCGUGAUCCUGUCGAAGUGGAAUCAACAGCGGAGCACAAAACAAUUAGAGACUGACUUAUCUGUUGGUGAUUUGCAGCAAACAACUUGUCUCUCAUCAAUGCCAGCUAGCUGGCCACAAGGUGCGCGGGAUAAAGCGGAAUUUUCAUUUUUAGUUUAUUAACAAACCUCGCAAGUCUAUGCCGAUGGCGUGAGGGGUAAAACUAUUAUUGAUUUAUUGUUAAAAUAUAAAAAUAUUACAUACAGAGAAGAAUAUCUGGUAGUGACGACAUACAUACAUAUCACACUACAUUUACACUUUUAAAAAUUUUCUGAGAUCAAGGAAUCUUAAAGCUGAUUUAUAAAUGCCUAUUUCUUUGAACAGAAUCCAUAUGGAACCGAUUCCGCUUAGUUCCAGAUGCCACUUUAAUUUUAGUAUGUAUGAACUCUACAAAAGAAAAAUGAAAAAAAAAACUAUAGCUGAACUAUUUACAACAACAUUAAAACAAUAAUAAAACAAUUAUAACAUAUCAAAUAAUCUAACUUAGAUCAGUAGAUUCAACAACAAUACAACGCACAUGAGUAAUAAAUAGGCAUAGCAGUCUAACAUGCAUAGGUAUGUGCAGACGCACAUACAUACAUACAUUUUCUUGUAUGCCCAUAAUUGUGCUCAUAUUUGCAUUGCAAUGCAGCAGAAUCUUACAUUUGAACUGCAGAUAUAAUUAUUUUUACAUACAAUGAAAUGUUAUUGCAUUUUCCCGCCCAAGUUAAUGGAUCCAGUUCGAAAAGAGGUCCAUUUUCUUAUUUCAUGCGCCACAAAACGACCGAGUUCUAAUUAAAAACUAAAUAUUCGUACAUUUUUUUUGUAUUGUUUCUGUUCAAAAAGAAAAUUUGCUAAUAUUCUGUUGUGACUUCUUGUACUUUAUUUGAAAUAAAAAUUCAAAAAUCAAUUUUAA